CUCUGGAGUACAGCUCCUCACUCACGGGAAACAUCCACGGAUCAAGGGCAAUCCCACAUCUGCAGACAUUGACAGUGACAGAGAAUGACGGGUUACAGGCUAACCAGGAGAGGCCUUCCCUUCACACCACCUUAAUGUAAAACCAAGACCUGUUUUCCAUUUUCGCAGCUGCCUGGUCUUCAAAAUAGUAAGUUGCGGAUGCAGAUCCGUCUCUACGACACACACAGAUUUAAUUACAGCCCAUUCCCCCUGGAUUGUCUUUCCCAGCGCCACCCUUGAUAUUUUCCUCUCAUCUGUUGACUUCCUUUCCUCUUCCACUGUACUUUCCCCCCACAAAUAAAAGAGGACCCCAAAGGAGGGUACGUGGAAACCAUCAA